ACGCUCGACACCUACGGGAGGCAGCAGUGAGGGAUAUUGGUCAAUGGGGGAAACCCUGAACCAGCAACGCCGCGUGAGGGAUGACGGCCUUGGUUGUAACCUCUGUCCUCUGUGAGAUAAUGACGGUAGCAGAGGAGGAAGCUCCGGCUAACUACGUGCCAGCAGCCGUGGUAAUCUGAGCGGGCUGGCAAGGC
rnacentral:rRNA from 1 species